CGGGGUGUAGCGCAGCCUGGUAGCGCGCUUCGUUCGGGACGAAGAAGUCGGGGGUUCGAAUCUCCCCACCCCGA
rnacentral:tRNA from 2 species